rnacentral:tRNA from 2 species
GCCCCCUUAGCUCAGCGGCCAGAGCGCUCGCCUUGUAAGCGAGUGGUCGAGGGUUCGACUCCCUCAGGGGGCUCCA